rnacentral:tRNA from 1 species
CCGUCGAUAGCUCAGUUGGCAGAGCGGUGGACUGUAGAUCCAUAGGUCGCAGGUUCGACUCCGGCUCGACGGA